rnacentral:pre_miRNA from 1 species
UGCUAAAAAUAUUCACCAAUCUAUACGGUUAAAAACUGAUGUAGCUGACAAAAUAAUUAGACAGUGACAUGUGGCGUGACCUGUGUACCUCAUGCUGACGUAUAGAUACUGGUUUUUAACUGCAAAAGUGGAUGAAAUUUUUGACA